AACGAUGGCAGAUACCGCUGUUGCGAC
rnacentral:sRNA from 1 species